rnacentral:rRNA from 1 species
GAUGAACGCUGGCGGCGUGCCUAAUACAUGCAAGUCGAGCGAACGGACGAGAAGCUUGCGUCUCUGAUGUUAGCGCCGGACGGGUGAGGAACACGUGGAUAACCUACCUAUAAGACUGGGAUAACUUCGGGAAACCGGAGCUAAUACCGGAAAAUAUUUUGAACCGCAUGGUUCCAAAGUGAAAGACGGUCUUGCUGUCACUUAUAGAUGGAUCCGCGCUGCAUUCGCUAGUUGGUAAGGUAACGGCUUACCAAGGCAACGAUGCAUAGCCGACCUGAGGGGGUCGUCGGCCACACUGGAACUGAGACACGGUCCCGACUCCUACGCGAGGCCGCGGUACGGACUCCUCCGCAAUGGGCCAAAGCCUGACGGUGCACCGCCGCGUGAGUGCUGAAGGUCUUCUGCUCGUAAAGCUCUGUUAUUAGGGAAGAUCAAAUGUGUAAGUACCUGUGAACAUCUUGACGGUACCUAAUCAGUAAGCCCCGGCUAACUCCGUG